rnacentral:rRNA from 1 species
AUUGAACGCUAGCGGGAUGCCUUACACAUGCAAGUCGAACGGCGUGGCGAACGGGUGAGUAAUGUAUCGGAACGUGCACAGUACCGGGGGAUAACUCCGCCUAAGCGUAGCUAAUACCGCAACCUAUUGGCGCGGCCGAUAUCGGAUUAGCAAGUUGGUGGGGUACCGGCUCACCAAGGCGACGGUCCGUAGCUGGUUUGAGAGGACGACCAGCCACUCAGGAAAUGAGACGCGGCCCCGACUCCUGCGGGAGGCAGCAGUGGGGAAUGUUGGACAAUGGGUGAAACCCUGAUCCAGCCAGGCGGCGUGUACGAUGAAGUCCUUCGGGUUGGAAAGCACUUUUUGCAGGAAAGCGGUACCUGCAGAAGAAGCACCGGCUAACUACGUGCCAGCAGCCGCGGUAAUAC